rnacentral:lncRNA from 1 species
GGAGACCCGUAAGCAGCGUAUACAACUUGAUGAUCUGCAGAUGAAAGUAGCUUCUCUGGUAAAGCAACAUGCAGAGUACGAAGCCGUGCGGGCAGAGCUGGAGGCUAAGCAGAGCGCUGAGAAGUUGUCCCAGCAGCUUUUUGAGGAAGUGGAGAGGCUGAAGGAGCAGAACAACAACACAGAGACUCAGUAAGACUCAACAAGAACAUUUUACAGCAUAUUUUGUUUGGUUCUUGUUCCGCUGACAUCUCUUUCUCUGUUCUCCAGAAAGAAAGAGACUUGAGGACCAGCUGAAGAUGGUAGCAGGGAUUGUCUCUGGUUAUAAUUUUACUUUCUGUAAACCUCAACCGCUGAUAUACCACAUUGUAAUAGUCCACUGUCUGAUGUAUGUAACUCAGUCUUACCUUUGAAACUGUUUUAUUAUGAAGAGACAACAGAGAAGCAGUGUGUGGAUAAUGUCCAGCUGAGACAGGAGAAGACGGCACUGCAGAAAGACCUGCUGAAAACACAGGUGUCGUUGAAGACAUGUCAGAAGGUAGCAGAGGAAGUGCAGCAGUUGAAGGAGGACAACGCCAGGACAUCCGUUCUGUAAGGGGUUUCACCGAGCACUAAAACAACAAGUGGAUGGAAUAAGUCAUGGUGUUGCUGUACUCAUGUUUCUACCUUCUGAUUUCACCAACAGAAAAUACGACCUGGAAAAACAUCUUGUACUGUUUCAAGGUUGAUAUACUUUUAUUAUCUGCUAGUCUGUGGGAACAAUCAUUUAUAAUAUUCCUAUUGUGAUCUGUCACACAGCCUUUACCUGCCUUGUCUUAUUGGCGAUGUGCCUGGGUUGUUCUGUUUUAGAUUCUCAACUCAAGCAAGAGCGUGACAUUACCAGGCUGAAAACAGAGAAGAUUGUACUGGAGAACGAGCUUCUACAUCUUCAGGAACGACUAGAGAAACUGGAGACGGAGAAGAAUAAAGGUAACAGUGCUGUUCGUAGUAGUAGUAGUAUCAGUAGUAGUAGUAGUAGUAGUAGUAGUAGUAGUAGUAGUAGUAGUAUCAGUAGUAGUAGUAGUAGUAGUAGUAUCAGUAGUAUCAGUAGUAGUAGUAGUAUCAGUAGUAGUAGUAGUAUCAGUAGUAGUAGCAGUAGUAGUAGUAGUAGUAUCAGUCGUAGUAGUAGUAGUAUCAGUAGUAUCAGCAGUAUCAGUAGUAUCAGUCGUAGUAGUAGUAGUAGUAUCAGCAGUAUCAGUAGUAUCAGUCGUAGUAGUAGUAGUAGUAUCAGUAGUAGUAGUAGCAGUAGUAUCAGUAGUAGUAGUAUCAGUAGUAUCAGUAGUAGUAGUAUCAGUAGUAGUAGUAGUAGCAGUAUCAGUAGUAGCAGUAUCAGUAGUAUCAGUAGCAGUAUCAGNGAUGCUUUGUGUAAAUGUGCCCAGAGUUAAUGUAGUGUUUCCCCGUUCAUAGACACUAAUUAACUUCAGAUCCCAGAUCAGCACUGCUGCUCUUAUUGAUGAAUGUUUCAUCUUCCGG